CUCUCCCAAUUUCCACAUCCAAGUCAAGUCAACUAACAUUGAUCUCGAGAAAAAAAGUAUACCACUAAAGCCUUGCAAGUCUCGAAACCGUACCCAUAAGCUACUAAAGAACCUUCAAUAAUCUCGGCCUCAAAUUUCGAUGAGGCCUUAUACUCCUCGAUGGCCUUCAACUUAGCCUCAACGAUUGCAUUCACCUUGUCGGUCUCCGAUUGAGUCUCCAUCAACUUUAUUUUAUCUUCAACGACCUUCACCACCGCAUCCUCGAGCUACAAACUCACCUCGAGCUUAGCGAUCCUUAGCUGACACGACUCCGCGAGCCCAUCCUCCAUGGCUAGAAAACCCUCGAGCUGCAUGAUCCGCUCCUUCGUAGCCAAAAGCUCGGACCUUGCCCGAGACGAGUCUUCCUCCGAAGCCUUCUUCCAAGCCUUUGCUUCCUAGAGAUCUCCUUUGAGCUUUCUUUUAACUCGAUUAAGGUCAAUGACCACCUCGUCGAGGUGGGCAACAUCAUAGAUUAGCUGCAAAAGAAAAAUCGAAGUCAGAAACUUCAAAAGCAAGAAGAAAAAUCGACUAAGUCAAGAGUUUACCUUCAGGAGAUCUCCGAACGAAGAGGACAAUGCCUUGUCCAGAGGUCUACCUUUUGUCUCAGCCCAGCCGGAUGGCAGCAGCAUCAUCUUGAUCAUCUUCUAGGCGAGCUGCUAGUUGUGGAGAGCCAAAUCAUCUCUGUUGCUAAUGAGGAGGGCUCUGCUCCUUGUCGAGUUGCAAGAGUUGGAGCCACUGGGAACAUCACAAAUGAGUCAGAUCAGGUCGGAGAUGAAGCUUAGGGAAAAAACAGUGGAGUCACUGCUCGGACAGACUCUAGUAUGGCCAGGAGAGCAGCCCUCAAGGGCAGCACGACGAUGACCUCCUACAUGUCAUCGAUCUCAAUGGGAUCCGUGCUGGAGGUUCCGAUCAAUCUACUGGGGGCGGAUAGAGCUGGUGGAGCCAGAGCCGAAGAAGUCAUCGGCUUCAUCUUCUUCCUCAACAAACCCUCCCUCGAGGUAGAGCUCAGCCUCUUCUUCAAAAAGGCUGACUUGAUCGAUUCCAAUAUAGGCCUUAUCAUUGCAAGACCGAAGACAUAAAGUUAGUACAAAAAACUAAAAAAGAUCAAGUAACCAACGAAGCAAAAGGACUAAGGCAAAUCUCGAGAAAGAGCCG
rnacentral:lncRNA from 1 species